rnacentral:rRNA from 1 species
GUGUCAGCCGCCGCGGUAAUACGGGGGGUGCGAGCGUUGUCCGGAAUCACUGGGCGUAAAGGGCGCGUAGGUGGCUUGGUAAGCGCGUGGUGAAAGCCCGGGGCUCAACCCCGGGUCUGCCAUGCGAACUACUAUGGCUUGAGCACUGUAGAGGCAGGUAGAAUUCCGGGUGUAGCGGUGGAAUGCGUAGAGAUCCGGAAGAAUACCGGUGGCGAAGGCGGCCUGCUGGGCAGUGGCUGACACUGAGGCGCGACAGCGUGGGGAGCAAACAGGAUUAGAAACCCUUGUAGUCC